UACGUAGGGUGCGAGCGUUAAUCGGAAUUACUGGGCGUAAAGCGUGCGCAGGCGGUUUUUCAAGUCUGAUGUGAAAGCCCCGGGCUUAACCUGGGAACUGCGUUGGAAACUGAAAGACUAGAGUGCGGCAGAGGGGGGUAGAAUUCCACGUGUAGCAGUGAAAUGCGUAGAUAUGUGGAGGAAUACCGAUGGCGAAGGCAGCCCCCUGGGUCGACACUGACGCUCAUGCACGAAAGCGUGGGUAGCAAACAGG
rnacentral:rRNA from 2 species